GGAGGGAUGGCCGAGUGGUUGAUGGCGGCGGUCUUGAAAACCGUUGUGGCGCUCCGCGUCACCGGGGUUCAGAAUCCCUCUCCCUCCGCCA
rnacentral:tRNA from 1 species